rnacentral:lncRNA from 1 species
AAUUCUGUAAUCUAGUCAUUUUUAUUCACGGAUAUUCCAAAAAGAAUUUAAGGAAGCUCAGUUCUAUGAGUUCUCUGGUUUUAUAUUUGCUAAAAGUUUUUACUCUCAUAAACAAAGCAUUUUGAAUUUGUUUCUUUCAAAGAUAUGCUUUGGACAUUGAGUAUAUAAGAAGUUGGAGGGAAAAUAUCCUUAAAACAAAUACGUGGUUGCUAUAAGGGAACAUGUUAAUGAUUUAGGAGAUGACAGAGAAUCACCUUCUCACUGUCCUUCUCCACCACUGACAUUCCUUGUGUUGAGGAGACAGCAGAUCAACAACAGACGACACACGCCUCAGCUUUCAUAAGCAGGACAUGUCGAUAUUCCCUAUUAUUCUGAACUGUUCUCAAUAUUAUUCUAUUUUAAAAUUUCCCUUUCCCAUGUUGAAGUUCUUGAGAAUGUUUUCUUCAGCUUGCGCUGUGAAAGUCAUUCUUUGAUUCCUCCUACAAAUUUUACAAAAUAAUAUUAGAGGUGUCCGACUUCAGGCUCCAGAUCCCUGAAUUACGUGUCAUUUGCAAACAGUACACAUUUUGAGAACUCUUGAAUGCAUGAAGGGUGCUACAUAUGUUAAGGCCUCCGGAAUGACUCAUGUUUAAUUGAACUGCCACAGCAACAGUUCUUGGUAGGUAACAGUCUUUCUCAAAACAUGAGGAAACAAAACAAGAUGAUGUCACAGAGGAAGAAGUACAGAAGAGCGCCACUGACUGCCUGGUCUUUGGCUUCCUGUCUGUUCAUAACACCAUCAUGGCCGUUCUUGAAAGACGAAGCUGACUUUCAGAGGUGAUCUAACCAAACUUGCAUAGAGUGAGGAAGAAAUCCACAUGUCAAUUUAGUAAUUUACAGUGAGAAUUGUGACUGCUGAUGUGCCUGGUUACAGGAAUCCUUCUGGCCUGCACGGACCUUGGGAAACUAGAGAAGAGAAAUUCUAAGCAGAAAGUUGCAAUGGCCUUGGACUGAGUGAGAUGGACAUAUCUAAUUUUUCAAUAAUGAUGUGUCAGCUACAGAAUAAAAGAGAUGGACUCCUUCAGCCAGAGAAGACCCUUCCUGGAAACAUCUUCAGAUGGACGGAGCCAACUUCAGCCUUCUUAAAUCUCCCUUCUGAUGGCACUUUUGUCCUUCGGUUUUAUUAAAACAGUCGAUGUCUUGUAGGCCUAUGAGCAAUUUUGAUCAUUUAGAGUUAUUUCACAUGUCUGCUCUGCUCUAUUAAUUAAAAACUCAGAGGUCAAUUUAUUUCUAAGAUCUUUUACACUAUGGUAUCACUACUGUUUCAUUUAUCAAGCAAUUAAUUUCCUUUUAAAAACAUUGGUUUGGCACCUACUGUAUGCCUAGUGCUAUGGGGCUAUGCUAGUCAUUUCAUGUAAUAGUGAUUAAAUGCUGGGCUUUGGGUUAAAGAGACUAGGUCUG